GACGAACGCUGGCGGCGUGCUUAACACAUGCAAGUCGAACGGCAGCGGGGGAGAAGCUUGCUUUUCCUGCCGGCGAGUGGCGAACGGGUGAGUAAUACAUCGGAACGUGCCCUGUAGUGGGGGAUAACUAGUCGAAAGAUUAGCUAAUACCGCAUACGACCUGAGGGUGAAAGUGGGGGACCGCAAGGCCUCAUGCUAUAGGAGCGGCCGAUGUCUGAUUAGCUAGUUGGUGGGGUAAAGGCCUACCAAGGCGACGAUCAGUAGCUGGUCUGGGAGGACGAUCAGCCACACUGGGACUGAGACACGGCCCAGACUCCUACGGGAAGCAGCAGUGGGGAAUUUUGGACAAUGGGCGAAAGCCUGAUCCAGCAAUGCCGCGUGUGUGAAGAAGGCCUUCGGGUUGUAAAGCACUUUUGUCCGGAAAGAAAUGGCUCUGGUUAAUACCUGGGGUCGAUGACGGUACCGGAAGAAUAAGGACCGGCUAACUACGUGCCAGCCGCCGCCGUAACAC
rnacentral:rRNA from 1 species